GACUAAUAACAAUGUCCAAAAUUCUCCUACAUUAAAAUGUUUAUGUAUUUAUUGAUAGUACGGAAAAGUAGUACAAAUACGAUAACUAUUAUACGUCUGGCAAUCCUGGCAGUGGAGAAGUCAAGUGAACGCAAGCUAACAAAAAACGAGCAACAUCAUAGGACCGCCGUCCUCCUGUAGGAAUCCCCGUCCUUACUCUGGCUGCUCAGGGUGGACGUGCAGGCCGUUCUCAGUGCGGGUGACGCUGUUGCUCUCCCAGAAGCUCUUUUGCAGCUGCUCCACUUCCGACACCAGCGGGAGGCUGAUGUCCAAGUGCAUCUUCAGGUUCUCCAACCACUCCUCCAGUUUGGAAAAGGGCGGGCUACGGAAACAAACGGAAAUGAAUGAGGGAGGUUCCAUCCUGUGAUGACACCUUAACCUCAGAGGACACCUCUGCUGUCAUCGCACGGAUCUUUUUAUGAGCCCAACCGGAGGUACAGGAGAAUCUGCCCACCUCUUUCAGGAAUGUUCUUUGUGUCUCGUCGUCAAAGCGGAUCAGCUCCUUCAUCACCAUCACCUCGCCCGUCACCCUGUGGGUCACCUGAAGGUACUCCGGCUUCCUCCCACCUCCAAAAACAUGCACCUGGGGAUAGGCCCCUCCCACCUCCAAAGACAUGCAUCUGGGGAUAGGCCCCUCCCACCUCCAAAGACAUGCACCUGGGGAUAGGCCCCUCCCACCUCCAAAGACAUGCACCUGGGGAUAGGCCCCUCCCACCUCCAAAGACAUGCACCUGGGGAUAGGUUGAUUGGCAACACUAAAUAGGCCCUAGUGUGUGAAUGUGAGUGUGAAUGUUGUCUGUGUUGGCCCUGUGAUGAGGUGGCCACUUGUCCAGGGUGUACCCCGCCUUCCGCCCGAAUGCAGCUGGGAUAGGCUCCAGCACUACCCGCGGCCAUAGCAGGACGACGGUAGAAAAUGGAUGGAUGGAUGUUGAAAUAAAGAUUUUUAUAAUUGCCAUGACCUUCAUUACCUUCUAUUUACCAUCUUUGACGUUCUUUUACGUCUAUGUUUCCUCUUCUUUUUUAAUCUUUUAUUCACCUUGUAUAACACUAACUUUUAUUUAUUUUUUAUCUUAAUUUCCCAUUUAUUUACCUUCCGUUUAACAUAUUUGGCCUUCUAUCUUCCUUCUUUUAAUUUUUAUGUGCCUUCCACUUUCCUUUAAUUUACUAUUUGUACCUCCUAUUUAAAUUAUUUUACCUUUUACUUGCCUUCUCUUACUUUUUAUUUACCUUCUUCUAUCUUCUAUUUAACUUGUUUUGCCUUUUAUAGUUCUUUUAACUUUUAUUUACCUUAGAUUUUUUUUACCUUUAAUAUACUACUUUUACCUUCUAUUUACUUUCUUUACCUUCUAUUUACUUAUUUACCUUUUAUUUACUUAUUUUACCUUCUAUAUUCCAUCUUUUACCUUUUAUUUACCUUCUUUUAUAAUGUAUUUACCUUCUUUUACCAUUAAUUUACUUAUUUUACCUUCCAUAUAUUCCUUAUUUUACCUUUUAUUUACCUUCUUUUACAUUUUAUUUACCUUCUUUUACCGUUUAUUUACUUUUCCCCCAAUAACCCUUUUACUUGCCCUCUCAAACAUUGAUUGA